GGCCUCGUGGCCCAAUGGAUAAGGUAUCUGACUACGAAUUAGGGGAUUCCAGAUUCGAAUCCUGGCGGGGUCG
rnacentral:tRNA from 1 species